GUAGCAAAGGUCAGAAGCAAGCGACUCAAGAAGCGGCCGCCUCCGUCUCCGAGAAUGAGCUACGUGUGCUCCUUGUCUGACGAGCUGGUCGCCAAAGCCGGGGAAGAGCUGCAGGAGAAGCCGGAAAGGAGGCUGAGGUACGUGCAGGCCCCUGGGGACAUGGCGCGCAUGGAGCACGCGACCCUAAGGGUGUCUCUGGACGAGGCCUUCCGGCCACGCAAGUUCGAUUACGAGUGGGCCCUGCAGCUCCUGGUCAGCUACCACAGCUGCCGGAGACGCUGGCGGAAGUGUCCAGUCACCUGAAGCCAUUGGGCUUGAAAGAUGUCCUCCCGGUGCGGCCCCACGGCGACCCCCGCGGCUGCCUCGUCCUCCGUGUCCGCCCAGACAGACGGACCCCAAGCUAAUCUCCCAUUCCGCGCCAUACACUCCAACUUAGAGAGGCUCCUUCAGUCUGAAGAAACCCAGAUGAAUGGAACUGUGAUUCUUGCGGAGUGAGCUUAUCGAAAGCAUCUCAUUUUGGUCCUUUUAUAGCCAAAAAGGUGAUUGGCAUCCUCCAGGGUAGUUUCCCCACUGGGAUAAAGGCAGUCCACGUAGUGAACAGACCGCGAAUAUUUAAAGGCAUUUUUGCCAUCAUCAGAACCAUUUCUGAAAGAGAAAACAGCAAACAGAUCCUUCCUCCACGGGUCUGACCCGAACUCUCCACACAGACCUCCAGGCUGGACGCCGCCACCCGGAACGCGGUGCUGCUGACCUCAGAGGACGACUUUGUGGGAGAGUUGUGCCAGCCUGGCCCCACCUGCGACAGCAUCACCGCCCGGCGCUGCUGCCUGCGGGACUGGCCUCAGAGGUGCGAGCUGGACGUCCCAGCUGCCCUCCUGCUGUUAGCCAGUCCCCUGAAACAAACAUCAGUGAGUCAGGUACCCUCCCUAGCGGGGACAGUGCCUUGGGAUCUGUGGACCGCGGGCACCCUGAGCAACCCCCGGGCCGCAGUGUGUCGGCUGGCAGUGUGGAUUCUCGAGGAUACAGCUGGGCUUCCUGGCCUAUCAGGGGAUUUUCCAUGCUGUGCUGGCAUUCAGGAAGAUGGCAGGCUGUGACCACAAGGAGAGGCAAGGAGGUGGAGCACCAGGCCUGAAACAGGCUCUCAGCAUCCCAGCAGCCAUCUUCGGUUUUCUGUUUGGUUCCUGAGUAAAACUUGAGUGCCAUCUUUUGUCUUCCUGUAUAUUGGUUCUAAUGCUUCCCCAUCUCUAAAGAGGCUUAGUUCCUCCUCCUCACAUCUGGACAAGCACCUGGUACUGUAGCAAGCUCUCCUGGGGCCCUGCAUGAACAGAAGCUAUUGUAAUUAGGGCAAUGAUUUCUUGGAUCCCAAACCAUUCUACCUCAUCACUUCUGAUGUCAAGUUCUCUCCACAUAAAACAAAGGUGGGAGGGUGUCUGGCAUGUUUACUGAAGUCCUGUCGGGUCUCCUGGUCUCCAGCUUAGACUUUUCAGCCUGCAAUGUUGCAUGAGCUAAUUCCUUACAAUAAAUCUCUUUCUAUGUAUGCUUA